rnacentral:rRNA from 1 species
ACUCCUACGGGAGGCAGCAGUGGGGAAUAUUGCACAAUGGGGGAAACCCUGAUGCAGCCAUGCCGCGUGUGUGAAGAAGGCCUUCGGUUGUAAAGCACUUUCAGUAGGGAGGAAGGUAGUGUAGUUAACACCUGCAUUAUUUGACGUUACCUACAGAAGAAGCACCGGCUAACUCCGUGCCAGCAGCCGCGGUAAUACGGAGGGGUGCGAGCGUUAAUCGGAAUUACUGGGCGUAAAGCGCAUGCAGGCGGCCUGUUAAGUCAGAUGUGAAAGCCCGGGGGCUUAACCUCGGAAUUGCAUUUGAAACUGGCAGGCUAGAGUCUGUAGAGGGGGUAGAAGUUUCAGGUGUAGCGGUGAAAUGCGUAGAGAUCUG